UAAAAUAAAGAUUAGAAUUAAAAUUUAAAAAAAAAAAUAAAUGAUAAGACACUAAAGAAAAUAACAGGCUGAAAAUUAAUUAAACAUCCAUUGCAUAAGGAAAAUGAGACAUGGAAACACAUGAAAUGUAAAGAUAUACUUAAUGCAUGAAAUGUAAAAAGUAAAUUAAAUUAAAAAAAAGAUGCAUGAAAUGUAAAUUAAAAAAAAUGAAUACUAAGUAUCAUAGCACGUCAUCACCAAAUCAAUACUUUAAAAAAAAUGUAUGACAUUAAUAGAAAAAUAAGUUAAAAAACUACUACUUUGGAUGCAAGCGUGAAUAGGAAAUGAUGCACCAGAAUUUGCAAAAAUAUAAUGAAACAUUACAAGAUGCCGUGCUCUAAGAAAAGAAAUAAAUGGCUGCAAAAAAGAAAUCCUAGCCUACAUCCCGAAUUGAAUUCAACGCCUCCUUUUUCUCUAAAGCAAGUGAAAUAAUUCUCUUCUUCCAAAAGAGAAUCACCGCAUCGGCCCCCCUCUCCACGUCACCAUGCAUCUCCAAGAUAAAUGAAGGUUGGCCGUGCACCACUUCUGGAAGAAAAUGGAUAAUUGCCUCCACAAAAUAAAUCAUAUCUAGCACCCUACGCCAUGGGACAAUCCUUUACUAGAUGAAAUUAAACUUAAAAUUAUCGCUGCACCACCCAAUAAAUAAAGAAAAAAAAAGAAUUGAAAUCACCAUUGAAUAUUGCAAUGCAGGUGGCGGCUUCAUCAUUCCAGCCAUUCAAUGAAAAUGGAAACCAUACAUUCACACAUAAUGAAGAACAGUUCACUUUUCUAAAAGAAGGCAAAUACUUAAAAAUAAUUUUUUCUACCCUGAACGGAGACUUCAAUAAAGCAAGAUUGAAUUUAGCUAAUAUCAAU
rnacentral:lncRNA from 1 species